rnacentral:rRNA from 1 species
UCAGUACGGCGAGUGAGCGGCAAAGCUCAAUUUGGAAUCUCAGUCUUUCAGGGGCGAGUUGUAAUUUGAAGACGUAUUUUGAAGUAAGCACAUGUCGAAGUUCCUUGGAACAGGACGUCACAGAGGGUGAGAAUCCCGUGCGAUGUGUUCACUGCUUCAUGUAAAAUGCGGUCGAAGAGUCGAGUUGUUUG